rnacentral:rRNA from 1 species
UACGUAGGUGGCAAGCGUUGUCCGGAUUUACUGGGCGUAAAGAGCGCGUAGGCGGCCGGAUUAGUCGCGUGUGAAAGCCCCCGGCUCAACUGGGGAGGGUCACGCGAUACUGUUCGACUCGAAGGCAGGAGAGGGAAGUGGAAUUCCCGGUGUAGUGGUGAAAUGCGUAGAUAUCGGGAGGAACACCAGUGGCGAAGGCGACUUCCUGGCCUGUUCUUGACGCUGAGGCGCGAAAGCUAGGGUAGCAAACGGG